GGCGGAGUGGCCGAGUGGUUCAGGCGCAGGCCUGCAAAGCCUGUUACGCGGGUUCGAUUCCCGUCUCCGCCU
rnacentral:tRNA from 1 species